UUAAAAAGCUCGUAGUCGGAUUUCAGUAUUAGGCCCUUCUUCCAAUACGGUUGCUAGUGGUCUUUACUUCCUUAACAGAAUCUUUCAUUUUAUUAAUUUAAAGUGUUUGGGGCCUGUUUCUUUUACUUUGAGAAAAUUAGAGUGUUCAAAGCGGGUUUUCGCCUGGAUAUUACUCUUGGAAUAAUAAUAUAGAACUUUGGUUCUUUUUUGUUGGUGACUUAGAACCGAAGUAAUGAUUGAUAGGGACAGUUGGGGUCAUUCGUACUAUGAAGCGAGAGGUGAAAUUCAUGGACCUUUGUAUGACGAACUACUGCGAAAGCAUUUGACUAGGAUGUUCCCGUUGAUCAAGAACGAAAGUUGGGGGAUCGAAGACGAUCAGAUACCGUCGUAGUCUCAACCAUAAACUAUGCCAGCUAGGGAUUGGAAGAAGAUCAUUUUACGUCUCCUUCAGCACCUUAUGAGAAAUCAAAGCAUUUGGGUUCCGGGGGGAGUAUGGUCGC
rnacentral:rRNA from 1 species